rnacentral:rRNA from 1 species
CUACGGGGUGCUCCAGUGGGGAAUAUUGCACAAUGGGGGGAACCCUGAUGCAGCAACGCCGCGUGGAGGAUGACGCAUUUCGGUGUGUAAACUCCUUUUAUAUGUCAAGAAAAUGACGGUAGCAUAUGAAUAAGCACCGGCUAACUCCGUGCCAGCAGCCGCGGUAAUACGGAGGGUGCAAGCGUUACUCGGAAUCACUGGGCGUAAAGGACGCGUAGGCGGGUUGGAAAGUCAGGUGUGAAAUCCUACAGCUUAACUGUAGAACUGCACUUGAAACUUCUAAUCUAGAGUAUGGGAGGGGGAGAUGGAAUGAGUGGUGUAGGGGGAAAAUCCGUAGAUAUCACUAGGAAUACCUAAAGCGAAGGCGAUCUCCUGGAACAUUACUGACGCUAAGGCGUGAAAGCGUGGGGAGCAAACAGGAUUAGAUACCCUCGUAGUC